UAUGUAAAUAAAUAGAAAUUAAGUGGUAUGUAUGUGAAUCUUCCAAAUUUAUUUGGCCUUCAGGUUGAACAGCGAAGCAUUUUCCUUGCAGGUCUUCCCUGAAAGCAUUCAUACGCCGAGUAGCCUAUGCAAAUGCUGGAUGUGAUCACAUUGUAGGGUGGAGGACCUCUUCAAUAAGACGUAAUUGUGAGCUGCCGAAGUGGGAGCUUGCUUUAAGUCAAAAGUAUCCACAUAUCGUCUAUGAGGAAAAUUCAGUGGGAGAUAAUUGUGAUCAACAUACGCAAAUUUCUCCUUCUGAUUGUGACU